rnacentral:rRNA from 1 species
GACGAACGCUGGCGGCGUGCCUAAUACAUGCAAGUUGAGCGCUGAAGGUUGGUCCUUGUACCAACUGGAUGAGCAGCGAACGGGUGAGUAACGCGUGGGGAAUCUGCCUUUGAGCGGGGGACAACAUUUGGAAACGAAUGCUAAUACCGCAUAAAAACUUUAAACACAAGUUUUAAGUUUGAAAGAUGCAAUUGCAUCACUCAAAGAUGAUCCCGCGUUGUAUUAGCUAGUUGGUGAGGUAAAGGCUCACCAAGGCGAUGAUACAUAGCCGACCUGAGAGGGUGAUCGGCCACAUUGGGACUGAGACACGGCCCAAACUCCUACGGGAGGCAGCAGUAGGGAAUCUUCGGCAAUAGACGAAAGUCUGACCGAGCAACGCCGCGUGAGUGAAGAAGGUUGUCGGAUCGUAAAACUCUGUUGGUAGAGAAGAACGUUGGUGAGAGUGGAAAGCUCAUCAAGUGACGGUAACUACCCAGAAAGGGACGGCUAACUACGUG